rnacentral:rRNA from 1 species
GACGAACGCUGGCGGCGUGCCUAAUACAUGCAAGUCGAGCGGAGUUAGAGAAGCUUGCUUCUCUAACUUAGCGGCGGACGGGUGAGUAACACGUGGGCAAUCUGCCCAUAAGACUGGGAUAACUCCGGGAAACCGGGGCUAAUACCGGAUAAUCCUGACUCUCUCCUGAGAGUCAGUUGAAAGAUGGUUUCGGCUAUCACUUACGGAUGAGCCCGCGGCGCAUUAGCUAGUUGGUAGGGUAAUGGCCUACCAAGGCGACGAUGCGUAGCCGACCUGAGAGGGUGAUCGGCCACACUGGGACUGAGACACGGCCCAGACUCCUACGGGAGGCAGCAGUAGGGAAUCUUCCGCAAUGGACGAAAGUCUGACGGAGCAACGCCGCGUGAGUGAAGAAGGUUUUCGGAUCGUAAAACUCUGUUGUUAGGGAAGAACACGUACGAGAGUAACUGCUCGUACCUUGACGGUACCUAACCAGAAAGCCACGGCUAACUACGUG